UACGAAGGGGGCUAGCGUUGCUCGGAAUCACUGGGCGUAAAGCGCACGUAGGCGGCUUUCUAAGUCAGGGGUGAAAUCCCGGGGCUCAACCCCGGAACUGCCUUUGAUACUGGGUAUCUCGAGUCCGAGAGAGGUGAGUGGAAUUCCGAGUGUAGAGGUGAAAUUCGUAGAUAUUCGGAGGAACACCAGUGGCGAAGGCGGCUCACUGGCUCGGUACUGACGCUGAGGUGCGAAAGCGUGGGGAGCAAACAGG
rnacentral:rRNA from 1 species